GACAGAGGGUGCAAACGUUGUUCGGAAUUGCUGGGCGUAAAGCGCGUGUAGGCGGCCCUGCAAGUCGGGUGUGAAAUCCCACGGCUCAACCGUGGAAGUGCACUCGAAACUGCAGGGCUAGAGUCCUGGAGAGGAAGGUGGAAUGCUUGGUGUAGAGGUGAAAUUCGUAGAUAUCAAGCGGAACACCGGUGGCGAAGGCGGCCUUCUGGACAGUGACUGACGCUGAGACGCGAAAGCGUGGGGAGCAAACAGG
rnacentral:rRNA from 1 species